UACAGAGGGGGCGAGCGUUGUUCGGAAUUACUGGGCGUAAAGGGCGCGUAGGCGGCCUUCUAAGUCGAACGUGAAAUCCCCGGGCUCAACCCGGGAACUGCGUCCGAUACUGGCUGGCUUGAAUCCGGGAGAGGGAUGCGGAAUUCCAGGUGUAGCGGUGAAAUGCGUAGAUAUCUGGAGGAACACCGGUGGCGAAGGCGGCAUCCUGGACCGGUAUUGACGCUGAGGCGCGAAAGCCAGGGGAGCAAACGGG
rnacentral:rRNA from 1 species